rnacentral:rRNA from 1 species
UACGUAGGGGGCAAGCGUUGUCCGGAUUUAUUGGGCGUAAAGAGCGUGUAGGCGGUUAUGCAGGUCCGCUGUGAAAACUGGAGGCUUAACCUCCAGACGUCGGUGGAAACCGUAUGACUAGAGUCCGGAAGAGGAGAGUGGAAUUCCUGGUGUAGCGGUGAAAUGCGUAGAUAUCAGGAGGAACACCUGUGGUGUAGACAGCUUACUGGACCAUUUCUGACGCUGAGACACGAAAGCGUGGGUAGCAAACAGG